rnacentral:rRNA from 1 species
AGCGAACGCUGGCGGCAGGCUUAACACAUGCAAGUCGAGCGGGCAUCUUCGGGUGUCAGCGGCGGACGGGUGAGUAACGCGUGGGAACGUGCCUUCUGGUUCGGAAUAACUCAGGGAAACUUGAGCUAAUACCGGAUACGCCCUUUUGGGGAAAGGUUUACUGCCGGAAGAUCGGCCCGCGUCUGAUCAGCUAGUUGGUGGGGUAACGGCCUACCAAGGCGACGAUCAGUAGCUGGUCUGAGAGGAUGAUCAGCCACACUGGGACUGAGACACGGCCCAGACUCCUACGGGAGGCAGCAGUGGGGAAUAUUGGACAAUGGGGGCAACCCUGAUCCAGCCAUGCCGCGUGAGUGAUGAAGGCCUUAGGGUUGUAAAGCUCUUUUAUCCGGGACGAUAAUGACGGUACCGGAGGAAUAAGCCCCGGCUAACUUCGUGCCAGCCGCCGCGGUAA